rnacentral:tRNA from 2 species
UGGGGCGUCGCCAAGCGGUAAGGCACGGGGUUUUGAUCCCCGCAUUCGUAGGUUCGAAUCCUGCCGCCCCAACCA